rnacentral:rRNA from 1 species
CUGGCGGCAGGCCUAACACAUGCAAGUCGAGCGCACUCUUCGGAGUGAGCGGCGGACGGGUUAGUAACGCGUGGGAACAUACCCUUUUCUACGGAAUAGCCUCGGGAAACUGAGAGUAAUACCGUAUACGCCCUUUUGGGGAAAGAUUUAUCGGUGAAGGAUUGGCCCGCGUUUGAUUAGAUAGUUGGUGGGGUAAUGGCCUACCAAGUCUACGAUCAAUAGCUGGUUUGAGAGGAUGAUCAGCAACACUGGGACUGAGACACGGCCCAGACUCCUACGGGAGGCAGCAGUGGGGAAUCUUAGACAAUGGGCGCAAGCCUGAUCUAGCCAUGCCGCGUGAGUGACGAAGGCCUUAGGGUCGUAAAGCUCUUUCGCCAGGGAUGAUAAUGACAGUACCUGGUAAAGAAACCCCGGCUAACUCCGUGCCUGCAGCCGCGGUAAUACGGAGGGGGUUAGCGUUGUUCGGAAUUACUGGGCGUAAAGCGUACGUAGGCGGAUUGGAAAGUAUGGGGUGAAAUCCCAGGGCUCAACCCUGGAACUGCCCUGUAAACUAUCAGUCUAGAGUUCGAGAGAGGUGAGUGGAAUUCCAAGUGUAGAGGUGAAAUUCGUAGAUAUUUGGAGGAACACCAGUGGCGAAGGCGGCUCACUGGCUCGAUACUGACGCUGAGGUACGAAAGUGUGGGGAGCAAACAGGAUUAGAUACCCUGGUAGUCCACA